CCUACGGGCGGCUGCAGUGGGGAAUCUUGCGCAAUGGGCGAAAGCCUGACGCAGCGACGCCGCGUGUGGGAGGAAGGCCUUCGGGUUGUAAACCACUUUCAGGAGGGACGAAGCUACUCGGGUGAAUAGCCCAGAGGGUGACGGUACCUCCAGAAGAAGCCCCGGCUAACUACGUGCCAGCAGCCGCGGUAAUACGUAGGGGGCAAGCGUUGUCCGGAUUUACUGGGCGUAAAGCGCGUGUAGGCGGCCACGCAGGUCCGUUGUGAAAACUGGAG
rnacentral:rRNA from 1 species